rnacentral:ncRNA from 1 species
CGACUCCCCCACGGUAAAGGCGAGCAGCCAGCCGGAAGCGAGUCUUGCACGGCGUACGGUAACGUGCGUCGUGAAGCGUAGACAGCGGGUGCUGAAGCCCUGCUAUGGAGCCUCGACAUCAUGUGCUGCUGAGGUCCUCGUUUUGUUGGAAACGGGGACAGCAUUUUCCGGUCCGUUAUGCGAGGACCGGGAGGCUCGGCCGGGGUCUGAGAACA